GGCGGCGCUAGUGCAGUAGGUUAGCACACGCUCCUGGAAAGGUUGAAAUGCGGGUUCGAUCCUCACCUGACGUCA